UGUUGCAUUAACUCAAGAUAUGAUGACCUCAUGUCACAUUUUUAGUUGAAUAUUAUGCUGUUGGAAGGAUUUUAUAAGCCAUGCAACAAGCGUAAAUGGAAUGAAGAAAGUUUUCAACUCCCAGAGGACUUCCUUCCUCCUUCUCCCUAUUCUGUCUCUUUUUCAUGAAAAUAUUGCUCUAAGGGAAGCAAGUUGUCCUGGAGAGGUUCAUACGGCAAGAAGGGCCCUCAUGAGGGAGCUUGGAAGUGGAUCUCUGAGGCCUGCCAACAGCCAUGUGACUGAGUUUCAACGUGGAUCCACCCUCAGUUGCACACGGAAAUACUGUGACUCUGGCCAGCACUAUGGCUUCAGCCUUGUGAGAGACCAUGAGCCAGAGUACUCAGCUAAGCCCAGAUUCCCAACUCACAGACAUGUUCUGGAAGCUGGAAGUUCAACAAGAAGGUGUUGGCAAGGUUGAUUUAUUUUGAGGAGUCUCCUUAACCUGCGGAUGGCCAUCUUCUUCUGGUGUCUGCACAGGGUCUUCCUUCUUUGUGAACACAUGUUGUCCUUCUUACAAGGAUAAUCGUCACGCUGGAUUGUGCUCAUCUGUAUGACCACAUUCUACUCAAUUACCUUUUUAAAGCCACAUGUCCAGAUAGUCACAUUCUGAGGUACUAAAGUUUAGGAUUGCAAUGCAUGGAUUUCAGGUGGGUCAAAGUUCAGUCUGAAAUGCUUAGUACCUGGCACGGUGUGAGGCACCAGGGAUGGAACAGUACAUGGGACAGUCGUGGUCCCCGCUACCAUGGCACUUACAUUCUAGCAGGCAAACAGCAAUCACACCUGAAUAAUUACAAGCACAACUUGGAGAACAAAAAGUAUGAAGAGCAUUUAACAGAGGUACUUACCGCAGUCCAGCGGUUCUCAAGACUGGAGGUAAUGUUGCUACAGGAGACAUAUGGCAGUGUCUGAAGACAUUUUUUAUUGUCACAAAUUAGAAGUACUGCCAGCAUCCGCUAAACAUCCUACAAUGCACAGGACAGCUCUCCACAACAAACAGCUCUUUGGUCCAAAAUGCCAUCUUGCCACUGUUGAGAAACUGUGACCUGUAGACACAGUGAUGUGUAAGGUCAUGGAAAGAUCCCUUGAACCAACUUCUGAAACAUUUGUACUAAUUUACUGGGCGAGGCAGUGUAGAAAUGGAAUUCUACGCAGAGAUAACAGCCAGUGUGGAAACCUUGAGUUAGUAACAUGGCGCACAUGAAUGGAAAGAAGGCAGAAUGGGAAGCAACACAAGUGAGGAGAAGGUUGAAAUACAACGAGGUACAUGAGCCCAGCUCACGCACACCCUAGAGGUCAUAUCUAGGAUGCCAGUCUUCAUUUAGAUUGUAAAACAAGGAGUAUGAAGGAGCAAGGAGAAGAUGAAACCUCCUCCUUUUGUGAUUUAGUGAUAUUUUUAUAGUAAAUCUCCAGGAACUGGUGAGAAAGGAGAUGUUAUUUGUGAUAUGCCAAGUUAGUUACAGAAAGGAGAAAAAGAACAAUCAGGGAAAUUUUUGAAGUAUAGAAGAUCAAGAAAGUAUGAAAUACUGUUUUGCGUUUGGAGAAUCCAAUAAUUCUAUGGGCCUAGAGCAGAGAUUGCAAAGAAGGAGCGGUGCGGGAUGAAGAAGCCUCAUGACAGGCUUCCUUGGAAGUUCUGUCAGUGUUGGGCAUAAAGAGAGGUGGAAAGACUGGAGAAGAGAAGGGUCAUUCCUUCCUGGUUAUGCUGUUCCUGUCAGCACUGCUUCAGCAACAGCCCUUCCCUCUGGUCCUUCUCUGGCAAGCUGUAUUCUUCAACCCAUUUGAUAGUUUCUGAAUAUAAACUAUGCAUAACUUUGAGAGAUCUUCCCAUUCCAAUGAACUUGAGUGAGCACCUGUAAAGCGGAAACACUCAACUUUAUAAAUUAACCAUUAUAAAAGUUUAUUUCCAUGAGAU